CAGUCGCCGCGGUAAUACGAAGGGUGCAAGCGUUACUCGGAAUUACUGGGCGUAAAGCGUGUGUAGGUGGUUGUUUAAGUCUGUCGUGAAAGCCCUGGGCUCAGCCUGGGAAUGGCAGUGGAUACUGGCAAGCUAGAGUGUGUCAGAGGAUGGUGGAAUUCCCGGUGUAGCGGUGAAAUGCGUAGAGAUCGGGAGGAACAUCAGUGGCGAAGGCGGCCAUCUGGGACAACACUGACGCUGAGGCACGAAAGCGUGGGGAGCAAACAGGAUUAGAUACCCCCGUAGUCCCUGUCUCUUAUAC
rnacentral:rRNA from 1 species